rnacentral:rRNA from 1 species
AUGAUAAUACUCCUAAUUGGAUAUCUGAGGUAAUUCUUGAGCUAAUACAUGCGUUUUUGCAGAGCGUCUUUUGGCGCUCUGUGCAUUUAUUGGUCCAAAACCAAGCGGCCUUGGUCGUUUAAUUUGGUGACUCUGAAUAACUCUGUGAAUCGCACGGUCUCGUACUGGCGAUAGGUCUAUCAAGUUUCUGUUCUAUCAACUUUUGAUGGUUCUGUAUUGGAGAACCAUGGUUAUAACGGAUAACGGAGAAUUAGGGUUUGACUCCGGAGAGGGAGCCUGAGAAACGGCUACCACAUCCAAGGAAGGCAGCAGGCGCGAAAAUUACCCACUCUCAGUUCGAGGAGGUAGUGACGAAAAAUAACAAGACCGAUCGCUUUGCGAGCGGUUAUUGAAAUGGGUACAAUUUAAACCUUUUAACGAGGACCUAUGAGAGGGCAAGUCUGGUGCCAGCAGCCGCGGUAAUUCCAGCUCUCAAAAUGUACUUAACCAUUGUUGCGGUUAAAAAGCUCGUAGUUGGAUCUACGCUGCGCGGAACGGUUCGUUCAUUGAGCGUUAACUGUUUCACGUGGCUCUCUUUUGUCGGUUUUCGGCUAGUGUCCUUAACGGGGUGUUAGUUGCGGCUGACGCUUUUACCUUGAAUAAAUUAGAGUGCUUAAAACAGGCGUUUAGCUUGAAUAUGCUAGCAUGGAAUAAUGGAAUAGGACUUUGGUUCGAUUUUAUUGGUUUUAUGAAUUGAAGUAAUGAUUAGUAGGAUCAAACGGGGGCAUCCGUAUUGAUACGUGAGAGGUGAAAUUCUGGGACCGUAGCAAGACGACCGACUGCGAAAGCAUUUGCCAAGAAUGUUUUCAUUAAUCAAGAACGAAAGUUAGGGGAACAAAAGCGAUCAGAUACCGCCCUAGUCCUAACCAUAAACUCUGCCCACUAGCGAUCCGUCGGCGGUUUUUUUGCCCUGAUGGGGAGCUUCC